UGUGAACUACGGAUUGCAAAGAUACAGCGGAGGAGUGUAAUGAUAGUUCCUUUGUUUUAUUGGAUUACGAAUGCAUGGGUGAAACUGAAUUCUCUCAGGAUCUAGGGACGUGGAGGCUCUCAAAUUUUUUUUGUGUUGAAUGAAGCUGAGAAAGCAGGAGAUGCAAUGAUUCAAGAUGAGCUGUAGUGUGCUGGUAGCAGGCACAUGCUGAUAGACAAUGAUACUGUGCUCAAGCAACUUUCGAAUACUGCUCGACCUAUUUAAUUUUUAUUUGAUGAUUUGAUCAAGUUGGCUUGUACUGUCUCCUGGCGUUUGUUGCUAACUUAAGCCAUUUCAUCUGGGUUAGUGCAUUGAGUGAACUUUAGUAUUUGGAAUUAUAGUUUCAUGUAUUAAAAAUUGAAUCUUUGCUACUGUAUGUUGGUUUGCAAUAUUUUGUUCAAUUU